rnacentral:lncRNA from 1 species
UUUUUUUUUUUUUUUUUUUUUGUCAUUUCUGGGGCUGCUCUCAUGGCAUAUGGAGGUUCCCAGGCUAGGGGUCAAAUCGGAGCUACAGCUGCCUGCCUACGCCACAGCCACAGCAAUGCCAGAUCCGAGCCUUGUCUGCUCCUUACACCACAGCUCAUGGCAACAGAGGCCAGGGAUUGAACGCACAUCCUAAUGGAUCCUAGUUGGAUUCAUUUCUGCUGUGCCACAAUGGGAACUCCCCUUCCUUUGUAUUUUAAAGAACAGUGUCUAAAGUAGGUCCCAUCCUUUUGUUAUUCUCAACCACAGUUCCAACGGUUGAGUGUCUCCUGGGAUAUGCAUGCUCUGUUCCAUUUCUUUCUUUUUUUAAACAGACCCAGAGUCCCAGAAGAAGUUAGAUGUUGUGCUUACAAACUGCAUACACAUGGGCAUCAUGGAAGUGCAAAACUCCAAUAAAGAAAUAAGCACAUGGUUUCUUAGUUCAUUUUUUAUGUUAAUGAUGAAAGUGCAGGUAAGAAAAUAAGAACUAGCCUUAAGGACAUAUAAGUGAUGGAAAGAGAAGGAAAAUUCUAGGUGGAGCCCAGAGAAGUUAUCAUUCUCUUCCUAUCAACAUUGGGUGGAUGUGCAGGCCCCUUGCUUUAUAGCAGCAGAACAAAAUAAAAUGACUGAUGAUCAAAGAAACUCACAGAUGCCUACAGAAUUAAAUUAUCAACCCACUUUGACAUUUUGCAAGUAUAAACAGAAACAGAAAUAACUAGAGGUGUAGAAAUAGUUGAAGAAGCCCCUCAACAUUAAAUUCUAAACUUCAAAUUUGAAACACCUAGAGAUUGGGGUUUCUCUGUAAUCUAUAAAUCAGCCUUGAUUCAAAGAAAUAGCCAGGCUGGCAUGGGGGAGCAACUUUAGAUCUGGCCAGCACAGGACCUGGGGAGGCUCAGUAGAGACCCACUAUCUGUUAAUAAGGAAGAAGACCCAAAACAGAGCCAGGACAAAUAAUUCUGUCAUUUUACUGUCAAAAGUGUCCAACCAUUCUUUAUUGUGAAAAGGAUACAUAAUUAAGCUGUAUCUUUAUAUUAUUAUUUUUUUUUUACUAUUUGGCAUAUUAUUCAUUCCCAGUGAUGUUUCAUUUCUCCUCAAAUGAUUCUUUUGCAACCUUUAGAAAGCCCUGCAAUUUCCUUUUCAUUUGGCCGAACGUGGCAGACACAGGAGGGAGAGCUUCUAAAUCCUGUUGCUCAGAAUAUGGCUUUUUUUUUUUUUUUUUUUUUUUUUUUUUUUGUCUUUUCAGGGUCGCACCCACUGGAAAUGGAGGUUCCCAGGCUAGGGGUCUAAUCGAAGCUACAGCUGCCAGCCUACACCAGAGCCACAGCAACGCCAGAUCUGAGCCACGUCUGUGACCUAUAGCACAGCUCAUGGCAAUGCCUGAUCCUUAACCCACUGAGUAAGGCCAGGAAUCGAACUCAAAACCUCGUGGUUCCUAGUUGGAUUCCUUUCUGCUGCGCCACAACGGGAACUCCCAGAAUAUGUUUAAAAAAAAAAAAAAAGCAGGACCCCAGACAGGUGUGUAACUGUUUGAAUGGGCUAUCUCUUAUACAACUAGGAAUAAGACCUACUUGGAAGAAGUUUUGCUCUAGAAACUGUUGAUGCUCUUGACUUAUUGAGGGGAGUUCCAUAAAAUGGCCAUUACCAACUGUAUAAGACAAAACUCGUGUUAGCUCGAAGGUUAGUCCCUGUUUUAAAAUCCCAAAAAAGAUAAACCCUAUUAUGGGCCAUUUCCACUUUCCCCACUGCUUCCCUGACAAGAGGUAAUGUGGGUCUGAGGAGGAAACUGAAGAUUCAUGGCCCAAAUAGAGCAGAAGUCUUGUCUUGUGUAACUGCCCAAAUGCUAAUACAAACUCAUUGUUGCUCAAUUUGUUCUUUAAAAGCUGUGCUUUAUUCUAUUAACUUUGAUUUGCCCUCUUAGCUUCUGUCAUUUUUCCAUACUGGACUGUCCUGGCAAUCCUCCUCACCUUUCUGUCUGGGUUUCAGUCUCUGACAGGGGCUCUGUGCCUAGGUCUCCCUGCCAGGAUCCAUCUGGCCCAUCGGUAACUAACAGUCAUCUUAGCCUUGUCCAGUGGUGAUAGCUUCACCCGUAGAUUUAACUGAGACAAAACUGAACAACUUACCAUAAAUAUCGGAGUCAAGAAAAAAUUAUUAGGAGACUAGGCGUACAUAAGUUUAGAUAAAAACAGAGAAGGCAGGACGACAGUGUGGUCCAAGUAAUUUUCUCUGUGCAAAGAUGCCUUCUAUUUAGUAUAACUAAACAUAUUACUUCUGGGGAAAAAAAAAAAACAACAACAAAAAUUCACACUCCAAAAAAGGGAGAAAAACUAGUAUUGAGAGCAAUUAUGAGUAUGACUUAAAAUGUCACUUUUCAUCUGUUGUACAGGAGAGUAAAUAUCAUGAAAACUUAACCAUGAUAAGGAAAAAAAAACACUUAACCAUGAUGAAAUAUUUGUCAAACAGUAUUUGUUCCUAUAUUAAGAAAUUAAUACCCACAUGCACAACUUUGAGUUGAUAGAAACUAAAAACUUAAGGUAAUAGAAUUAAGGAUUUCAUUUUCCUUUUUAGAGUUUUAUAUAUUUUUCAAAUUUUUUGGAAAGGCGUUUUGGAAAUAGAAAAAAAAAAAA